rnacentral:RNase_P_RNA from 1 species
AUGGGCCGGCAGACGGUCGCGUCACCGCGCUCGUGCCUCGUGCAGGGGUGCGGUGCCGAGGAACGUCCGGGCUCCACAGAGCAGGGCGGUGGGUAACACCCACCCGGGGCAACCCGCGAGACAGUGCCACAGAGAACAGACCGCCCCGGGUUCACGCCCGGGGUAAGGGUGAAACGGUGGUGUAAGAGACCACCAGCGACCGCGGUGACGCGGCCGGCUCGGUAAACCUCGCCCGGAGCAAGGUCAGACAGGAAGCGCUAACGCUGCUCGCUCAGCUUCCGGGUAGACCGCUGGAGGGCUGCGGCAACGUAGUCCCGAGAUAGAUGGCCGUCAGGGAGUGAUCCCGACAGAACCCGGCGUAUCGCCGGCCCAUUCAC